rnacentral:ribozyme from 14 species
GUAAUGAUGAAAAGCUAUACAAUGAAAAUGAGGAAAGAUGCGAGCACUACCAUCUGCUGCUACAAUAUAUAUACUAUUAUACAGCACGUAUUUUUUACGGUUCGUUCAUUCUUCUUCUUUUCUUCUUCUUCUUGUUCUUCUUCUUCUACACUGC